rnacentral:rRNA from 1 species
GACGAACGCUGGCGGCGUGCUUAACACAUGCAAGUCGAACGGUAAGGCCCUGCUUUUGUGGGGUGCUCGAGUGGCGAACGGGUGAGUAACACGUGAGUAACCUGCCCUUGACUUUGGGAUAACUUCAGGAAACUGGGGCUAAUACCGGAUAGGAGCUCCUGCUGCAUGGUGGGGGUUGGAAAGUUUCGGCGGUUGGGGAUGGACUCGCGGCUUAUCAGCUUGUUGGUGGGGUAGUGGCUUACCAAGGCUUGGACGGGUAGCCGGCCUGAGAGGGUGACCGGCCACUUUGGGCCUGAGAUCCGGCCCAGACUCCUACGGGGGGCAGCGGUGGGGAAUAUUGAACAAUGGGCGGAAGCCUGAUGCAGCAACGCCGCGUGCUGGAUGACGGCCUUCGGGUUGUAAACCGCUUUCGCCUGUGACGAAGCGUGAGUGACGGUAAUGGGUAAAGAAGCACCGGCUAACUACGUG